GGCAGGUAGAGUAGGAGGGAGUGGGGUGGAAAGAGAGAGUGAAGAGGCAGGUAGAGGAGGAGGGAGUGGGGUGGAAAGAGAGAGAGUGAAGAGGCAGGUAGAGUAGGAGGGAGUGGGGUGGAAAGAGAGAGAGUGAAGAGGCAGGUAGAGUAGGAGGGAGUGGGGUGGAAAGAGAGAGAGUGAAGAGGCAGGUAGAGUAGGAGGGAGUGGGGUGGAAAGAGAGAGAGUGAAGAGGCAGGUAGAGUAGGAGGGAGUGGGGUGGAAAGAGAGAGAGUGAAGAGGCAGGUAGAGUAGGAGGGAGUGGGGUGGAAAGAGAGAGAGUGAAGAGGCAGGUAGAGUAGGAGGGAGUGGGGUGGAAAGAGAUCAACAGAGAGCUACAGUAACAAGAGACAGCUGAGAUGAGUCCCUUCACUUGUCAGCUCAUUACAUAGUGUCACCUGCACUGAUAACCCCACAUCAUUCAUCCCCCUCUCCUCCUUCCCUUGUUCACAGACAGACUGAUAAC